rnacentral:rRNA from 1 species
UAGAGUUUGAUCCUGGCUCAGAUUGAACGCUGGCGGCAUGCCUUACACAUGCAAGUCGAACGGUAACGCGGGGCAACCUGGCGACGAGUGGCGAACGGGUGAGUAAUACAUCGGAACGUGCCCAGUAGUGGGGGAUAGCCCGGCGAAAGCCGGAUUAAUACCGCAUACGACCUACGGGUGAAAGCGGGGGAUCGCAAGACCUCGCGCUAUUGGAGCGGCCGAUGUCGGAUUAGCUUGUUGGUGGGGUAAAGGCCUACCAAGGCUACGAUCCGUAGCUGGUCUGAGAGGACGACCAGCCACACUGGGACUGAGACACGGCCCAGACUCCUACGGGAGGCAGCAGUGGGGAAUUUUGGACAAUGGGCGCAAGCCUGAUCCAGCCAUGCCGCGUGCGGGAAGAAGGCCUUCGGGUUGUAAACCGCUUUUGUCAGGGAAGAAACGGUUUGGGUUAAUAACCCGAACUAAUGACGGUACCUGAAGAAUAAGCACCGGCUAACUACGUGCCAGCAGCCGCGGUAAUACGUAGGGUGCAAGCGUUAAUCGGAAUUACUGGGCGUAAAGCGUGCGCAGGCGGCUUUGCAAGACAGAUGUGAAAUCCCCGGGCUCAACCUGGGAACUGCAUUUGUGACUGCAUCGCUGGAGUGCGGCAGAGGGGGAUGGAAUUCCGCGUGUAGCAGUGAAAUGCGUAGAUAUGCGGAGGAACACCGAUGGCGAAGGCAAUCCCCUGGGCCUGCACUGACGCUCAUGCACGAAAGCGUGGGGAGCAAACAGGAUUAGAUACCCUGGUAGUCCACGCCCUAAACGAUGUCAACUGGUUGUUGGACGGCUUGCUGUUCAGUAACGAAGCUAACGCGUGAAGUUGACCGCCUGGGGAGUACGGCCGCAAGGUUGAAACUUAAAGGAAUUGACGGA